ensembl:lncRNA LOC103693194 uncharacterized LOC103693194
CCCCUACCCCCCUCCAUGUGCUCAUGGCCGACCUCUAUUUCUCUCCUCUUCCUCCUCCCUCCCCUCCCCCUCCUUCCCUCUCCCUCCCUUCUCCCUCCCCUGCCUCUACUGCCCUCUUAACUCCCCCUCCCCAUGCCCUGAAUAAACUCUAUUCUAUACCAUAACUGGUUCCUCAGGGGAAGGGAUGUCUCAACAUGGGCCCGCAAAGGCACCCCUUUCCCCUAUACCUCACCACACCUCCAUAGAACAUGCCCCCCUCCUUCAUCUUUUUUUUUCUUUUUUUCGGAGCUGGGGACUGAACCCAGGGCCUUGCGCUGCUAGGCAAGCGCUCUACCACUGAGCUGAAUCCCCAACCCCUUUAUCUUUUUAUAAAUACAUCAUGCGGAGGGUAAAAAUUUGACUCAGGGGCCACAUGAACACAGCCACUUCCCAGCUGGCAACAGUAAGGCCUGGAUGUCCUUCAGUUCCCUGAACAAAGGCCAAAGUGGGGAGUGGGAGGCUGGGGAGCACCUGACCCUGAGUCAUGAGGCCAGGCUCAGGAACCCUCUAAUUUCAACACAGAGAAGCAGAAGGGGGUGCUUGGAGAUAGAGCCAAGGAAGAGGUGGGGAGGACCAGCUUGUGGAGGAGAGGGGAACCGAGAAAUGGAAAGCACCAGCUGGGACAUCCAGGAACUCCUCAUUCACCCCCACUGUCCCAUCAGCACCUCCCUGGCUCUGGUCCAGGUGGUUGGGGCAAGCCGGGAAGUAGGAGAUGAAGAAAAGUUUCCAGAGCUCAGCCUCCUUCAAAGACUUGCAGCAGAGACUCGGCUCUUGCCACUGCUCAAGCCAAUCAACUUUGCAGGAAUGUUCUAGAGCCAAACCCACACAGCACUGGGUACCCUGAGACUGUCAAAAACAAAUAAACAAAAACAAGAAUCAAGUCCCAGAAAAGACACAAGAAGCCAGGGUAGGGGGCACCCUGGGAGAAACUUGUGUGGCCCAAAAAGAGUGGUCCCUCUGUGCUUCGGGACAUGUGAUGGGUCAUCAUGACUGUCUCUUAAACAUGGUGCAUCUGGCAUCAAUGACUCAACUUGGAGAGGUUUCCAUCAGAUAUGUGGAGAGGGAAGACCCAGCCUAAAUCUGGGCCACCUUCAAGUCAGGAAGGACAUAGGAGAAAAGGCUUUUGCUCACUGGCAGGUUCAUUCAUCCCUCCCUGCUGUUGGAACCUUCUUUGUGAUUCCAGUGUCAACUUAAGACCAGCAGCCUCCAAGGACUCCAGAUGGAUUCAGGUGAGACAUCUGGCCUAGAGGAAUAAGCAACAACUGGAUGUUUGGUCCCUCUGGUGUGAGAUGGCCAUUGUUGGGAAACUCAGACCAUGGACUGAGCAUUGUAACACCCUUCUGAGUGUAGUUCUAUUGUCACUUCUGCCACCAUGGCAUGUCAAGCAAGAACAUUAUCUCCAGAAGGUUCCUGGCAGUAUAUGGGUGACUCAACCUUUGAUUAAAGCACAGAAGAGAACUGGGUACUUUGUUGUUAAUUCACACACAUCUGUUAGGAGGGUGUCUUUAUUGGUUGGUUGGUUUGGGGUUUUGUUGUUUUGUCAACUUGAUACACACAAGUUUCAUAUGGGAAGAAGAAACUUCAAUUAAGACAACACCCACAUCAGAUUGAUGACUGAUUGGGUGGUGCCUAUUGUGGUGGUGCCGCCCCUGAGCUGGAGGUCCUGGGUUCUUUCUAUAAAGAAGCAGGCUGAACUUGCAAUGGGGAAAUAGCCUCCAUGGCCUCAGCAUCAGCUCCUGCCUCCAGGCUCUUGCUGUGACUUCCCUCAGUGAUGGACUAUCACAGCAACAGAGUGCUCAGUAGGACACCAGUUCUCCUUUCUCUACUGUAAAUGCAUACCUGUCACCACAUCACUCAAAGGUCUGAGACAAAAGGGUGGUUGUAAG